UUUCCGUAGGUGAACCUGCGGAAGGAUCAUUAAAAAAUGGACUCUUAUGAGUUCAUUAAUAUCCUACCCUUUGUGAAUUUGUUGUUUGAAAUAAUUUUUUCUAAAAAAAUUAUUGAAUGUCUUUCCCUGUUUUGAUGGAGCUGUAAUAGCAAGUCAAUCAGGGAAUGGCAAACAUAAUUUUUUUGAAAAAGACCUUUUUUUAAAUUAAACUUUUGUAUUCAUUUGUCUAAAAUUAUUUUUAUAAUAUAAAAACAACUUUUGACAAUGGAUCUCUUGGUUCUCGCAACGAUGAAGAACGCAGCAAAAUGCGAUAAGUAGUGUGAAUUGCAGAAUACGUGAAUCAUCGAAUCUUCGAACGCAUAUUGCACUUUUUUGGUUUACCAAAAAAGUAUGUCUGUUUGAGUAUCAGUAAAAUAUUCUCAUAAAAACUAUUUGUUUUUAUGGUUAUGGUGUUUUACAACGAUAAACAAGUUGUUUCACUUUAAAUUCUUUGUCUUGUAAAAAAUCAUUAAAAACUGAUUUUUUUUAAAAUUGGAUAAAAUUUUCCCGUAAAAGGAAUAACCUAAACAAUUUUAAAAAUUAAAUUGGUUUGAUUUUUCUUAGAAUCAACAAGGAAAAAAGUAAAAAUUAACUUGAUCUCAAAUCAGAUAAGAGUACCCGCUGAACUUAAGCAUAUCAAUAAGCGGAGGAAAAGAAACUAACUAGGAUUCCCUCAGUAACGGCGAGUGAAGCGGGAAGAGCUCAAAUUUGAAAUCUUCAAGGUUUUACCUUGACGAAUUGUAGUUUAAAGAAGUGUUUUCUGUUGGAGUUUUGGUAAAAGUUCUUUGGAAUAGGACAUCAUAGAGGGUGAGAAUCCCGUAUUUGACCAUUAUUUCCAACUUUGUGAUCACUUUCAAAGAGUCGGAUUGUUUGGGAAUGCAGUCCAAAAUGGGUGGUAAAUUUCAUCUAAAGCUAAAUACUGGCGAGAGACCGAUAGCGAACAAGUACCGUGAGGGAAAGAUGAAAAGAACUUUGAAAAGAGAGUUGAACAGUACGUGAAAUUGUCAAAAGGGAAGCGUUUGACACCAGUGUUGUUUUCUCGAAAAUCAAUUAAAAAUGGUGGGAUUUUGUGUUGUAUUGACUUUAUCAGCUUUCUGCACUUUUUUCCUAUCUUUUUUAAUGCACUUUUCGUUUAACAAGUCAACAUCAAUUUCUUUUGUUGUAAAAGGGUCAUUGGAAGGUGGCUUUCUUUUCGGAGAAAGUGUUUAUAGCCUUUGGCCUCUGCAAUCGGAGAGAUUGAGGUCUGCAGCGUAGAUCCUUCGGGUUAGAUACAUUUGUGCUAAGCUAUAGCCUUUCAUAGACAACUUGUUGACUAUGAUCAGUCAUGUAGCUUACUCGCUUAUGCUAUUU
rnacentral:misc_RNA from 1 species